rnacentral:rRNA from 1 species
AAUGAACGUUGGCGGCGUGGAUUAGGCAUGCAAGUCGUGCGACAGGCCCGCAAGGGCGCUGAGCGGCGAAAGGGAGAGUAACGCGUAGGUUAUCUACCCUCAGGACCGGGAUAGCUACGGGAAACUGUAGGUAAUACCGGAUGAUGUCUCCGGACUAAAGGUGUGAUUCCGCCUGAGGAGGAGCCCGCGUCCUAUUAGCUAGUUGGUGGGGUAACGGCCUACCAAGGCUGAGAUGGGUACGGGGUAUGAGAGUAUGCCCCCGCUCACUGGGACUGAGACACUGCCCAGACACCUACGGGUGGCUGCAGUCGAGGAUCUUCGGCAAUGGGCGCAAGCCUGACCGAGCGACGCCGCGUGUGGGAUGAAGGCCUUCGGGUUGUAAACCACUGUCAGUGGGGAGGAAAUACUAUGGGGUUCUCCUCGUAGUUUGACCUAUCCGCAGAGGAAGUACGGGCUAAGUUCGUGCCAGCCGCCGCGGUAAAAC